rnacentral:lncRNA from 1 species
ACUCAUUGAAAUGGAGUUUUCAAGUUAGGCCCACAGCAAACUGGACGUUGGAAGAAAAGUUGUGGAGGUAUUUCAAGAAAAAUAAUGUCAUUUUCUUGAUUUCAAAACAAAUAACCCAGAGGCAUAUCGCCGCCAUUAAUGUAGGGCAGGUGUGUACGCAUAGUUGAAGACAAAUAGACAUUAACCAUAAAAAAUGAGUGAUUGUUUUAGAUAUUCGUUAGUGUGCAUUAAUGCAGUACCCUUUGCUUGUAUAAACAAACAAAUUAAUCUUUGUAUUUUCUUUCCUUAUCAAAGAAAACUGGUUGUUGAAGAAAUUGAUGGAAGUGGGAGGACAAAAGGGC